rnacentral:rRNA from 1 species
AUUGAACGCUGGCGGCAUGCUUUACACAUGCAAGUCGAACGGCAGCCCGGGCUUCGGCCUGGCGGCGAGUGGCGAACGGGUGAGUAAUGCAUCGGAACGUGCCCAGUAGUGGGGGAUAGCCCGGCGAAAGCCGGAUUAAUACCGCAUACGACCUGAGGGUGAAAGCGGGGGACCGAAAGGCCUCGCGCUAUUGGAGCGGCCGAUGUCGGAUUAGCUAGUUGGUGGGGUAAAGGCUUACCAAGGCGACGAUCCGUAGCUGGUCUGAGAGGACGACCAGCCACACUGGGACUGAGACACGGCCCAGACUCCUACGGGAGGCAGCAGUGGGGAAUUUUGGACAAUGGGGGCAACCCUGAUCCAGCCAUGCCGCGUGCGGGAAGAAGGCCUUCGGGUUGUAAACCGCUUUUGUUCGGGAAGAAAUCCUCUGGGCUAAUACCCCGGGGGGAUGACGGUACCGGAAGAAUAAGCACCGGCUAACUACGU